GCCUAAAAGCUAGCCCCCCCCCCAAACACAACAACUCAACAUUAAUAACCCCUAAAUACCCCCGUAUUCAAAACAAUAAACCAUUUUUCCCCCUCAGUACAGGAGAUAGAAAAGGACCAAAGGCGCAAUAGAGACAGUACCGCAAGGGAACGCUGAAAGAGAAAUGAAACAACCCAGUUAAAGCCCAAAAAAGCAGAGCCUGACUCUCGUACCUUUUGCAUCAUGAUUUAGCAAGUGUACCCCAGGCAAAGCGCACUUUAGUCUGACCCCCCGAAACCUAGUGAGCUACUCCAAGGCAGCCUAUUAACAGGGCCCACCCGUCUCUGUUGCAAAAGAGUGGGGAGAACUUUGAGUAGAGGUGACAAACCUACCGAACUCGGUCAUAGCUGGUUGCCCAAUAAAUGGAUAGAAGUUCAGCCUCCUGGCUUCUCUUUUCACUCUCGGGUCACACCCCUGCUGAUUCACUAAAGAAACCAAGAGAGUUAGUCAAAGGGGGUACAGCCCCUUUGAAUCAAGACACAACUUUGCCAAGCGGGU
rnacentral:rRNA from 1 species